rnacentral:rRNA from 1 species
UACGUAGGGUGCAAGCGUUGUCCGGAAUUAUUGGGCGUAAAGAGCUCGUAGGCGGUUUGUCGCGUCUGGUGUGAAAAUCCAGGGCUUAACCCUGGACCUGCAUCGGGUACGGGCAGACUAGAGUGCGGUAGGGGAGAUCGGAACUCCUGGUGUAGCGGUGGAAUGCGCAGAUAUCAGGAAGAACACCGGUGGCGAAGGCGGCUCUCUGGGCCUUACCUGACGCUGAGGAGCGAAAGCGUGGGUAGCGAACAGG